rnacentral:rRNA from 1 species
UACGUAGGGGCAAGCGUUGUCCGGAAUCAUUGGGCGUAAAGCGCGCGUAGGCGGCCCGAUCAGUCCGCUGUAAAAGUCCAGGGCUCAACCCUGGAAAGCCGGUGGAUACUGUCGGGCUAGAGUCCGGAAGAGGCGAGUGGAAUUCCUGGUGUAGCGGUGGAAUGCGCAGAUAUCAGGAGGAACACCGAUAGCGAAGGCAGCUCGCUGGGACGGUACUGACGCUGAGGUGCGAAAGCGUGGGGAGCGAACAGG